GAGUUUGAUCCUGGCUCAGAUUGAACGCUGGCGGCAUGCCUUACACAUGCAAGUCGAACGGUAACAGGUCUUCGGAUGCUGACGAGUGGCGAACGGGUGAGUAAUACAUCGGAACGUGCCCGAUCGUGGGGGAUAACGAAGCGAAAGCUUUGCUAAUACCGCAUACGAUCUACGGAUGAAAGCAGGGGACCGCAAGGCCUUGCGCGAACGGAGCGGCCGAUGGCAGAUUAGGUAGUUGGUGGGAUAAAAGCUUACCAAGCCGACGAUCUGUAGCUGGUCUGAGAGGACGACCAGCCACACUGGGACUGAGGCACGGCCCAGACUCCUACGGGAGGCAGCAGUGGGGAAUUUUGGACAAUGGGCGAAAGCCUGAUCCAGCCAUGCCGCGUGCAGGAUGAAGGCCUUCAGGUUGUAAACUGCUUUGUACGGAACGAAAAGACUCUGGUUAAUACCUGGGUCCAUGACAGUACCGUAAGAAUAAGCACCGGCUAACUACGUGCCAGCCGCCGCGGUAACU
rnacentral:rRNA from 1 species